GAACUCGACUGUUACCUGCAUUCAGGCCACAUGAUUAUGACUAGAUUUGGGGAGGGGGAGGAAAAAGGUAGAAAAGCACCUUGUAUUAUCUAACUGACCAUGAGGAAUGCAAUCAUUAUAUCCUGCAAAUCUGUACUAAUGAAUAAAUAAUAAUUGUACAGAGUACAAUAUGCUAUAUUUCAGUCUCUCUCCAGGAAAUGACAUGGAGAAAUAAGAACUUCAGAAGACAUGGAUACAGUCCAGUCAAUGUAUUGAGUGGACAGUGCAUUGAAGCCAGGGACACAUCCCAGUCACAGGUGUGACACAAUAGCCUGGGGGUCUUGUGGAUCACAGGUGUCCUGUCCCAGGUGCAGCCACAGGAGUCAGGACCUGGCCCGGUGAAGCCCUUGCAGACCCUGUCUCUCACCUGCACGAUCUCUGGAUUCUCCAUCACAACCAGUGGUUAUGACUGGAGCUGGGUCCAUCAGCCUCCAGGAAAGACUCUGGAAUGAAUGGCGGCCAUAGUUUGUGGAACUCACAGCUCCAUCCUAAGACAUGGUGGAGGUCUCCCAGGAGGGCAGAGGUGUGGUCCAAAGAUGAGACUUCUGGGUCUUCUCCUGUGCCUGGUGACAGCCCCUCAUGGUUUCCUGUGCCAGGUGCAGCUGCAGGAGUCAGGACCUGGCCUGGUGAAGCCCUCACAGACCCUGACCCUCACCUGCUUAGUCUCUGGCUACUCCAUCACCAGUGAUAGUGUUUGGAACUGGAUCCAUCAGCCCCAGGAAAGAGUCUGCAGUGGAUGGGGCAUGUUUGGUACGAUGGUGAUACUAAGUAUAACCCGACUCUCCAGAGUCGCAUCUCCAUCUCCAGAGACACAGGCAAGAACCAGUUCUCCCUGCAGCUGAAUUCUGUCAUCACAAAAGACACAGCCACCUAUUACUGUGCAAGAUGCACAGUGGUUCCUUACAACAGUGAGCCCAAACAUAAACCUCCCUGCAGGGAAACACAGGACCAGCGUGGGGCGUACUCUUCACACUGCUCUAGGGAACCAACUUCUCAACCCUGUAGUGGCAGCCUGGAGGAUUUUUCAGUAAUCAAGGGAUAGAGAUUCUAGGUAUCUUCUAUGUCGCUGAUCCUACACUGCUGUGUUUUCAUUGAAUCAAGCUCCUUUUCGUUUCCCUGCCCAUUUUAUUAUUGAUUGCACAACAUAUUGUCAAUGAAGUCUUCGUUCACAGCACAAGUGAUUACAAUGUCUCAAUAGUUUUUAAGGUGUAAAAUGUUUAAUACUUAUUUAUCUAUUGACUGGAAGUCUGCCAUCCACCCUCAGAUACAUCUAUGAGACCUCUCAUCCUGAAGAACAUUUUCCAAUUCUGUUCAUGCAGACUUUUACUCUGAAUAGCUGGACAUCACUGUGUGUUGAUCUGAGUGUUCACCUGUAAUUGGAGCUGUUCAUUUCCCCACCCUUGGUGAUGUAGGGUGAUACCUUGAAGAGCUGGGGUAGGUUAGACUGUGCAGGGUCUCUCUCAGCAUCUCGUUGGUAGAGAACAUGAUGCUGUCACACAUCCUGCAGUCAUGGAGCACUGCCUGACCAGUGUUUAUUAGGACCUACUGUCCGUAGCCAAAAACUCUUAUAGAAUGUCUUAAAUAUCGUGUCUAUUUUUACCACAAAGUGAAUUUGCUGUAUUUACAUUACCCUCCAUAAAAUCUGGACAUCUCAGCAAACUGCUAUCAGUGUGUCUGGAAACACUGCUGUCCUCAUCUGGCAGCUGACCUGAAAGAACAAGGUGCCCACACAGACUCAAGACUAUAGAGAUGGCCAGGGCCUUCCCAAAGAGGAACCUGGACUCCAGCUCUCUCUGUGCUCUUCUGAGUCCCUGAGGACAAGGCUGGCCAGCCCUGAACACUGACUCCUACCUGGUGUGAAAGUGUGAAAUCAUUGACAGAGAGAUUUGGGAUCAAUGGGAUUUGGGUACCUGGGAAAAUGUCACCAAGAGGAUUGGUUCAGCUGCAAAUCAUGGAGGCUGUAUCUCUAUAUAUUCAGAUAUAUAAGAAGUCAUUUAUUCAUAGUUUUGAAAUUUUGAACAAAAUUAAAUACUAGAGAGAAAAUCUGAGCAAGGAUUUUAGAUAACUAUCCAUCCUGUUAUCAUCUGUCCAUUGAUCUAUGUGUGUUAGUAUCCAUGAACACCAUUCUAUCCAUCUAUGCUCUGUCAUAUUUCUAUUCACCCACCAACUCUAUGCAUGCACCUUUCAUCUAUGUAUCUGUUAUAAAUUUGUUAGUUAUACACAUUCUUCUUAUCUGUUUUUCAUUUUUUUGCCUUGUAAUUAUCUGCCCUUCAUAUAUGUAUCACUCAAAAUUUAAGUAGUUUAUAUCACUCGGCCCCCCACAUCUUAACUAUUUCAUCAUCUUUCAUCUACCUAUCAGUGGUGCAUAUAUUAUCUGCUUUAUUCUUAGGUGCUUUAUUAAUAUAGGUGAUACAAAAAGCUGUUGAUGUGAUUGUAAAGAUUGAUAUACUUUAGAAAAUUGUCUAAAGAGGCUGAAAAUAGAGUAUAACACAAAAACCACUUGCUCAUGAUUUACUUCCUCAUCUCAAUCAACUAACAGCUCUAUACUGGAGAAGACUACAUUUUCUCAAAAAAUUAAGCUUCCACAUAACGCAAAACUAUCCUGAGUAUUUGCUAAAGCAGAGUAAAAUUUGAUGUUCACUGUGCAACCAGCAAUUCUGCAGCACACUUAAUGCAAUGUGUGUGUUUAAAACUAGAAUCAGUACAAAUGAGUUUUAAAGUUGGAGCAGGUGUGAAAACUAGAAAUCGUCCAUAGACUGAAAAAAAUUUUUCCGUAAAAGCAAUAUGUAUUCCUGCACGUGCUUCAGGAGUUUGGACCUGAUCUAAUGAAGCCCUCAUAGACCCUACUCCUCACUGGAUCCUGUCUGUUCACUCCCUCACUGUUGAUAUCUAUGGGGCUGGAUCCAUCAGCACAGAGAGAAGGAGACUGAAC
ensembl:lincRNA